CAAGUCAGCGGUAAAAUGAGAGGGCUCAACCUCUUCCCCGCCGUUGAAACUGCGUUUCUUGAGUGGGCGAGAAGUACGCGGAAUGCGUGGUGUAGCGGUGAAAUGCAUAGAUAUCACGCAGAACUCCGAUUGCGAAGGCAGCGUACCGGCGCCCAACUGACGCUCAUGCACGAAAGCGUGGGUAUCGAACAGGAUUAGAUACCCUGGUAGUCCACGCAGUAAACGAUGAAUACUCGCUGUCCGGGGAGAUUGGUCUCUGGGCGGCCAAGCGAAAGCGUUAAGUAUUCCACCUGGGGAGUACGCCGGCAACGGUGAAACUCAAAGGAAUUGACGGGGGCCCGCACAAGCGGAGGAACAUGUGGUUUAAUUCGAUGAUACGCGAGGAACCUUACCCGGGCUCAAACGACGGAUGAAUACUUUUGAAAGGAGGUAGUCCUUCGGGACAUCCGUCGAGGUGCUGCAUGGUUGUCGUCAGCUCGUGCCGUGAGGUGUCGGCUUAAGUGCCAUAACGAGCGCAACCCCCAUCGCCAGUUGCCAACAGGUAAAGCUGGGAACUCUGGCGAGACUGCCGGCGCAAGCUGUGAGGAAGGCGGGGAUGACGUCAAAUCAGCACGGCCCUUACGUCCGGGGCGACACACGUGUUACAAUGGCAGGUACAGAGAGAUGCGACACGGCGACGUGGAGCGGAACUGUCAAAACCUGUCUCAGUUCGGAUCGGAGUCUGCAACCCGACUCCGUGAAGCUGGAUUCGCUAGUAAUCGCGCAUCAGCCAUGGCGCGGUGAAUACGUUCCCGGGCCUUGCACACACCGCCCGUCAAG
rnacentral:rRNA from 1 species